AUUGAACGCUGGCGGCAGGCCUAACACAUGCAAGUCGAACGGUAGCAGGAAGAAGCUUGCUUCUUUGCUGACGAGUGGCGGACGGGUGAGUAAUGUCUGGGAAACUGCCUGAUGGAGGGGGAUAACUACUGGAAACGGUAGCUAAUACCGCAUAACGUCGCAAGACCAAAGAGGGGGACCUUCGGGCCUCUUGCCAUCAGAUGUGCCCAGAUGGGAUUAGCUAGUAGGUGGGGUAACGGCUCACCUAGGCGACGAUCCCUAGCUGGUCUGAGAGGAUGACCAGCCACACUGGAACUGAGACACGGUCCAGACUCCUACGGGAGGCAGUAGUGGGGAAUAUUGCACAAUGGGCGCAAGCCUGAUGCAGCCAUGCCGCGUGUGUGAAGAAGGCCUUCGGGUUGUAAAGCACUUUCAGCGGGGAGGAAGGGGGAAUGGUUAAUAACCAUUGCCAUUGACGUUACCCGCAGAAGAAGCACCGGCUAACUCCGUGCCAGCAGCCGCCGUAA
rnacentral:rRNA from 1 species